AGCGGCAGACGGGAGAGUAACACGUGGGAACGUACCCUUUGGUUCGGAACAACCCAGGGAAACUUGGGCUAAUACCGGAUAAGCCCUUACGGGGAAAGAUUCAUCGCCGAAGGAUCGGCCCGCGUCUGAUUAGCUAGUUGGUGGGGUAAUGGCCCACCAAGGCGACGAUCAGUAGCUGGUCUGAGAGGAUGAUCAGCCUCACUGGGACUGAGACACGGCCCAGACUCCUACGGGAGGCAGCAGUGGG
rnacentral:rRNA from 1 species